GCUCUCUCCUUUCUUCUCAAAAUCAGGGGAGAGCUCGUCUCUCUUCUUUUCUUCUUUGGAUCAGAGAGUUCUAAAUCAACAUAGCUGCCCAAUGUAAAGAUAGAGAUAAAAAUCAACAAACACGGAAGUUAGUAUGCAUCAGCUUAUAGAUGACAUGGUAUUUUCUCAACAAUGAAAAUUAGAUAUUUCAAAUCAAGAACCAACUUAUGUGCUAGAAUGAAGACGAUUACCAAUUUGCAAAUCAUGCUUCAUCGACUUGGAGAGGAUGAGAUGAUCAUUGAUCUGUCAAUGAACAUUUGGUUGAGAAAAUGAGCAAAUCUGAUUAAAUGCCCAAAAAAAGAAUCAACAUGCUCAUAUGUGCCACAAUUGGAUUUAAGCAUAAGCCAUGCCUUCAUUCGAUUUGAAAAAAUAGCCUUGAAGGAGAAAUUCACCAAUGGAAGGAACUUCCCAGGAAAAACCAAGUCAUAAUGAAUUGAAAAAAAGCUCAUGGUAAGCGAUCAGGUAUUCCUUGGCGAACCUACCACCUGAACCACCCAACUCAAAACCUCGACUUGCACCGACCACUAUAAUAACAACCUGUAACCAAUGAACUCGUAUACGAAAUUGGAUAUGGGGCUUGAUAAGGAUGGCAGUAAGUGAAGAUGGAGGAAGAGAUGGUGAGUUAAACUUCCAAACAACGAGAGAUGAGGUUAUCUAUAAAUAAAUAAUCCAGCAACUCCAUUAUAGUCACCACAAGAAAAAAGAUGCCAUUAGAGCACAAAUAUACAAGCUCAAAUAUCCACAGUACGUAUGUUCAUUAAAUUAUACUUACUGCUAAUUAGUUAUAAAACCAGAAGUAUGACUUAUACCCACUCAGAAAGAAUACGAGCUUUGUCAGGGGUACCAACACCAACUGCAAUUAGUUUAACGCCAGCUAAAU
rnacentral:lncRNA from 1 species